rnacentral:rRNA from 1 species
ACGAACGCUGGCGGCGUGCUUAACACAUGCAAGUCGAACGGUGAAGCGCCUUCCUUUUUGGUGGGUGUGGAUGAGUGGCGAACGGGUGAGUAACACGUGAGUAACCUGCCCCCUUCUUCUGGAUAACCGCAUGAAAGUGUGGCUAAUACGGGAUAUUCUGGGUCUGUCGCAUGAUGGGUCUGGGAAAGAUAUUGUUUCGGUGGGGGAUGGGCUCGCGGCCUAUCAGCUUGUUGGUGGGGUGAUGGCCUACCAAGGCGGUGACGGGUAGCCGGCCUGAGAGGGUGGACGGUCACACUGGGACUGAGACACGGCCCGGACUCCUACGGGAGGCAGCAGUGGGGAAUAUUGCACAAUGGGCGCAAGCCUGAUGCAGCGACGCCGCGUGAGGGAUGGAGGCCUUCGGGUUGUGAACCUCUUUCGCCAGUGAAGCAGGCCUGCCUCGUUUGUGGGUGGGUUGACGGUAGCUGGAUAAGAAGCGCCGGCUAACUACGUG